rnacentral:rRNA from 1 species
CUUUACACCUCCAAGUCGAACGGCAUCACGAAAAUGUUUUUUGUUUUUGGUGGCAAGUGGCGAACGGGUGAGUAAUAUAUCGGAACGUACCUUAAAGUGGGGGAUAACUAAUUGAAAAAUUAGCUAAUACCGCAUAAUAUCUAAGGAUUAAAGUAGGGGAUCGAAAGACCUUAUGCUUUUUGAGCGGCCGAUAUCUGAUUAGCUAGUUGGUAAGGUAAAAGCUUACCAAGGCAAUGAUCAGUAGCUGGUCUGAGAGGAUGAUCAGCCACACUGGAACUGAGAUACGGUCCAGACUCUUACGGGAGGCAGCAGUGGGGAAUUUUGGACAAUGGGAGAAAUCCUGAUCCAGCAAUACCGCGUGAGUGAAGAAGGCCUUAGGGUUGUAAAACUCUUUUGUCAGGGAAGAAAUAAUUUUAACUAAUAUUUAAAAUGGAUGACGGUACCUGAAGAAUAAGCACCGGCUAACUACGUGCCAGCAGCCGCGGUAAUACGUAGGGUGCUAGCGUUAAUCGGAAUUACUGGGCGUAAAGAGUGCGCAGGCGGUUAUAUAAGAUAGAUGUGAAAUCCCUAGGCUUAACCAAGGAACUACAUUUAUGACUGUAUAGCUAGAGUGUAUUAGAGAGGGGUAGAAUUUUAUAUGUAGCAGUGAAAUGCGUAGAUAUAUAAAGGAAUACCAAAGGCGAAGGCAGCCCCUUGGGAUAACACUGACGCUCAUGCACGAAAGCGUGGGGAGCAAACAGGAUUAGAUACCCUGGUAGUCCACGCCCUAAACGAUGUCUACUAGUUGUUGGAUUUUUAUUGAUUCAGUAAUGUAGCUAACGCGUCAAGUAGACCGCCUGGGGAGUACGGUCGCAAGAUUAAAACUCAAAGGAAUUGACGGGGACCCGCACAAGCGGUGGAUGAUGUGGAUUAAUUCGAUGCAACGCGAAAAACCUUACCUACUCUUGACAUGUUUAGAAUUUUAAAGAAAUUUAAAAGUGCUUGAAAAAGAACUAAAACACAGGUGCUGCAUGGCUGUCGUCAGCUCGUGUCGUGAGAUGUUGGGUUAAGUCCCGCAACGAGCGCAACCCUUAUUAUUAAUUGCUACGUUAAGAGCACUUUAAUAAAACUGCCGGUGACAAACCGGAGGAAGGUGAGGAUGACGUCAAGUCCUCAUGGCCCUUAUGAGUAGGGCUUCACACGUCAUACAAUGGUACAUACAGAUGGUAGCAAAUUUGCAAAGAAGAGCUAAUCCAAAAAGUGUAUCGUAGUCCGGAUUGUAGUCUGCAACUCGACUGCAUGAAGAUGGAAUCGCUAGUAAUCGCGGAUCAGCAUGUCGCGGUGAAUACGUUCUACGGGUCUUGUACACACCGCCCGUCACACCAUGGAAGCGAGUUUUGCCAGAAGUAAUUAACUUAACCUAAAAAAAAAGGAUGGCGAUUACUACGGCAGGAUUCGUGA